AGUCAUACGCUCGUCUCAAAGAUUAAGCCAUGCAUGUGUAAGUAUAAAUAAUUUUACUUUGAAACUGCGAAUGGCUCAUUAUAUCAGUUAUAGUUUAUUAGAAAUACUUUACUACUUGGAUAACCGUAGUAAUUCUAGGGCUAAUACAUGAAUAAAUCCUCAACUUCGGAAGAGGUGUGUUUAUUAGUAUGAAAACCAUAUAUCUUCGGAUAUAAUAGUGAGUAAUAAUAACCUUUCAUAUCGUAUGUCGUAAGAUAACGAUAGUUCUUUCAAGUUUCUGCCCUAUCAGCUUUCGAUGGUAGUAUAUGGGACUACCAUGGCAGUAACGGGUAACGAAGAAUUUGGGUUCGAUUUCGGAGAGGGAGCCUGAGAGAUGGCUACCACAUCCAAGGAAGGCAGCAGGCGCGUAAAUUACCCAAUCCUGACAUAGGGAGGUAGUGACAAUAAAUCACAAUGCGGAACUAUUUAGUUUUGCAAUUGGAUUGAGAACAAUGUACAAAUGUUAUCGAUAAACAAUUGGAGGGCAAGUCUGGUGCCAGCAGCCGCGGUAAUUCCAGCUCCAAUAGCGUAUAUUAACGUUGUUGCAGUUAAAAAGCUCGUAGUUGAAAUGUGGGAUGAAGUAUAUGAUGAAUUUAAUAUUCAAUUAUAUAUUGAUUCCCCUCUCCAAUUUAUUAUUAUGGGUAUUAAUUUAUUUGUAAUAAGAAUUGGUCAUUUACUGUGAGAAAAUUAGAGUGUUCAAAGCAGGCAUUUGCUUGAAUAGAUUAGCAUGGAAUAAUACUAAAAGGCUUUUAUGGUCGAUUUAAUUGGUUUGUUCAUAAAAGCAAGAUUAAAAGGAACAGUUGGGGGUAUUCAUAUUCAAUAGUUAGAGGUGAAAUUCUCGGAUUUAUGGAA
rnacentral:rRNA from 1 species